rnacentral:rRNA from 1 species
AGAUGCUGACGAGUGGCGAACGGGUGAGUAAUACAUCGGAACGUGCCCGAUCGUGGGGGAUAACGAAGCGAAAGCUUUGCUAAUACCGCAUAAGAUCUACGGAUGAAAGCAGGGGACCGCAAGGCCUUGCGCGAACGGAGCGGCCGAUGGCAGAUUAGGUAGUUGGUGGGAUAAAAGCUUACCAAGCCGACGAUCUGUAGCUGGUCUGAGAGGACGACCAGCCACACUGGGACUGAGACACGGCCCAGACUCCUACGGGAGGCAGCAGUGGGGAAUUUUGGACAAUGGGCGAAAGCCUGAUCCAGCCAUGCCGCGUGCAGGAUGAAGGCCUUCGGGUUGUAAACUGCUUUUGUACGGAACGAAAAGACUCUGGUUAAUACCUGGGGUCCAUGACGGUACCGUAAGAAUAAGCACCGGCUAACUACGUGCCAGCAGCCGCGGUAAUACGUAGGGUGCAAGCGUUAAUCGGAAUUACUGGGCGUAAAGCGUGCGCAGGCGGUUAUAUAAGACAGAUGUGAAAUCCCCGGGCUCAACCUGGGAACUGCAUUUGUGACUGUAUAGCUAGAGUACGGCAGAGGG